GAGUUUGAUCCUGGCUCAGGAUGAACGCUGGCGGCGUGCUUAACACAUGCAAGUCGAACGAAGAUGCCGGAGUGCUUGCACUUUGGCAGACUGAGUGGCGGACGGGUGAGUAACGCGUGGGUAACCUGCCUUAUACAGGGGGAUAACAGUUGGAAACGACUGCUAAUACCGCAUAAGCGCACGGUAUCGCAUGAUACAGUGUGAAAAACUCCGGUGGUAUAAGAUGGACCCGCGUCUGAUUAGCUUGUUGGUGAGGUAACGGCCCACCAAGGCGACGAUCAGUAGCCGGCCUGAGAGGGUGACCGGCCACAUUGGGACUGAGACACGGCCCAAACUCCUACGGGAGGCAGCAGUGGGGAAUAUUGCACAAUGGGGGAAACCCUGAUGCAGCGACGCCGCGUGAAGGAAGAAGUAUCUCGGUAUGUAAACUUCUAUCAGCAGGGAAGAAAAUGACGGUACCUGACUAAGAAGCCCCGGCUAACUACGUGCCAGCCGCCGCGGUAAUUC
rnacentral:rRNA from 1 species